UACGUAGGGUGCAAGCGUUGUCCGGAAUUAUUGGGCGUAAAGAGCUCGUAGGCGGUUUGUCGCGUCUGCUGUGAAAACCCCGAGGCUCAACCUCGGGCCUGCAGUGGGGUACGGGCAGACUAGAGUGCGGUAGGGGGAGAUUGGAAUUCCUGGUGUAGUGGUGGAAUGCGCAGAUAUCAGGAGGAACACCAAUGGCGAAGGCAGAUCUCUGGGGCCUAAACUGACGCUGAGGGAGCGAAAAGCAUGGGGGGAG
rnacentral:rRNA from 1 species